CUCGUAGGCGGUUCGUCGCGUCCGGUGUGAAAGUCCAUCGCCUAACGGUGGAUCUGCGCCGGGUACGGGCGGGCUGGAGUGCGGUAGGGGAGACUGGAAUUCCCGGUGUAACGGUGGAAUGUGUAGAUAUCGGGAAGAACACCAAUGGCGAAGGCAGGUCUCUGGGCCGUUACUGACGCUGAGGAGCGAAAGCGUGGGGAACGAACA
rnacentral:rRNA from 1 species